CCCUUAGAUGUCCGGGGCUGCACGCGCGCUACACUGAAGGAAUCAGCGUGCUAAAACCAUUGUCGAAAGGCAUUGGUAAACCCAUUAAAAUCCUACGUGAUUGGGAUCGGGAAUUGCAAUUAUUUCCCUUGAACGAGGAAUUCCCAGUAAGUGUGGGUCAUAAGCUCGCGUUGAUUACGUCCCUGCCCUUUGUACACACCGCCCGUCGCUGCCCGGGACUGAGCCGUUUCGAGAAAAGCGGGGACUGCUGCUGUCGGGGCUUUCGGGCCUUGGCUUCGGUGGAAACAGCUUUAAUCGCAGUGGCUUGAACCGGGCAAAANUCGUAACA
rnacentral:rRNA from 1 species